rnacentral:tRNA from 1 species
UUAGGGAUAAGCUAUUAUUUAAGCUAAAGGACUCAUAAUCCUUUGAAUUUACCCUAAA